AUUGAACGCUGGCGGCAUGCUUUACACAUGCAAGUCGAACGGUAACAGGCCGCAAGGUGCUGACGAGUGGCGAACGGGUGAGUAAUGCAUCGGAACGUGCCCAGUCGUGGGGGAUAACGCAGCGAAAGCUGUGCUAAUACCGCAUACGAUCUAUGGAUGAAAGCGGGGGACCGUAAGGCCUCGCGCGAUUGGAGCGGCCGAUGUCAGAUUAGGUAGUUGGUGGGGUAAAGGCCUACCAAGCCAACGAUCUGUAGCUGGUCUGAGAGGACGACCAGCCACACUGGGACUGAGACACGGCCCAGACUCCUACGGGAGGCAGCAGUGGGGAAUUUUGGACAAUGGGCGCAAGCCUGAUCCAGCAAUGCCGCGUGCAGGAAGAAGGCCUUCGGGUUGUAAACUGCUUUUGUACGGAACGAAACGGUCUGGGUUAAUACCCUGGACUAAUGACGGUACCGUAAGAAUAAGCACCGGCUAACUACGUG
rnacentral:rRNA from 1 species